AAAUGAAGAUUGGGUUGGAAUGUUGAGAAGGGAUCACUUCUGUUUAAGUGUUUAGUCAUGUUUGUUGGGGACUUACAAUGUGCUGCGGCUCUUAGGUACUGUAGUGUAUAAUCCAGCAACCAGCGCUCUUCCACAGAUCGUAAAACUGAGCCUCAGCAUUGAAGCGACUUGCCUAAGGUCAUUUAGCUUCCAAGUGACAGAGGUGUGAAAUCAAAGUUCAUGCCCUCAUAGACUGUAGGGCCUCCAGAUAAGUUUUGAAAUGCUAAAUUAAAAUUUAUUUAUUGCAGGACUUAUCAAAGCUUUUAAUGUGUUCCCAUGAAAGGAAACUCAUACAAGGAUAUGUAAAACUGCAAAGAAGUUUACUCACAAAAGGGUGUAAAGGAGUCAGGGCUCCCGAUGACUGCCUUGCCAAAUAAAAAACAUAACAGGUGUUUUAAGUGGGAAAAAACCAAUAUGACCAAGAGUACCAAGUUUACAUUAGUGUGUUUAUCUACCAUCAACUUUUCUACCAGCUUAUCUACCAAAAGCUUUUCUCACUUUAUUAUCUCAUUAACAAAAGCCUUGUCUCUAGACAUUGAUAAUUUAUAGGAAAUGUUCAAGGUAUGAUUUAUUUUGGGGACCAGAUCUAAGCAGCGUGUGCGGUUUUUUGUGGGUUUUGUUUGUUUUUUUGUUUUUUUUAAUCUCAGGUCACAAAGUUUUAGGUUUGUUUUCCUGACUGUGGGAUGUGAUGUACAUGUUUAUUUUGAAUGACAGCAGAAUAAUGUCAGUUUUGCUUCCAAUCUGUUAGAUAUUAUGUAUCUCCAAGAGUUGCUUAUCAAAUGCUAGGAGUCUCAAACCUAAUGACAAAGACACUCCAUGUUUUUAUUGCCUGGAGUGGUAAAAAUGACUGCUCGUACAGUUAUGCUGUCAGUCAGCUCUUCUGAUUCCUUGACAUGCCGCUCUAUCCAGAAUCUCAAUCUGUGCCUUUUUGCUGAUUCCCCUCCCCCACAACCAUCUCCCUGUCUUCCAGUCUGUUUUCGGAGCCCUGGGGGAGGCCCUUAUUAUAGCUUAGUAACCAGUUUAUUUCACCUUCUCCUCUUGUGAUAGAGCUUCCCUGCAUCUCAUAAUCACUAUUAGAAGACACAGGAUUUCAUUGUCCUAAGAUAGUCAAACCUAGGGGGCUUUUGAUUCUUUGAAAGUCACAAAACAUGGGGGAUCUUUUCAGCUGGCAGGUGGUAGGAAGAGUUUGAGCCCCAGGGUUGGGCAGUUCUGGAUUCUAAUCCUGGUACCACCUGUGCAACAACUGCCUCAUCUGUGAAAUGAGGAUGGUAAUGCCUAACCGGCAGGGCUGUUUAAAAAUUAAAUAAUAGCAACAAACCAUUUAUUUUGUAUUAGGAUGAGCACUUACAUGCAUUUUCUCAGUUAAAUGUCCCAGUAGUCUAUCAUAGCAGUCUAUGAAGUAAGUGCAGUUAUUAUAAUCACAUUACAGAUGGGGAAACUGAGGCUCAGUGACUUAAAUAACUUGCUUAAGCUCACAUAGCAAGCAGUCUGACUUCAGUGUCUUCACCACCACACUGUACUUCAUUUCAUUCCCGCCUCUAAUCAGUACAUUUAUUGCAAGCCUGCCACAGUGCCUACCAUUUGCUUCCUUCCCCCUCAGUGGAUCUGCUGUCACAAGGAGUAUAGCCGUAAAAUUUUAGCCUGUGAAAAUAUGUAGGAAAAUGUAAAAAAAAAAAAAAAAAAAGACACUGAGGAUGCAAAUUACCUGUAUACUUGGAAGUGAUUUGCAAAAGCGUUUUGCUAAACAGGCAACAUUCAAGGGCCUGUAAGAAACCAGAUUGAUUGUUUUGCUUAGCACUGCUGCUGCUGGAGCUGCUGGUGGUUCUGUGGCCAGCAGUGAACCUGAUAUGCUCUGCAGUGUAUAAUAGCCAUACUGUCUGAAACAGUCUUUUGGGUUUACCCAGGGUAACACCCCUUUGGAGUGUCCCCCAGAAAGAACCUACCUGCUCUGAGUCUCCAGCUAUGCACUUCACCCACCUAGUCG
rnacentral:lncRNA from 1 species